AUGGUGUCAGAAGCGGAUCCGAAGUGGAACUUUUAGUGACCCUCAGGAGCACUGAAUGAACAUGCAAGGAACCUGCAGGACCCACUUGUGUCCAUUGAUCUCUGGGAGCAGCUGGGAUAAGCUCCUUUUCGGAUUUCAGAGCUCCAUGGACUUGUGUCUUGAGAUCCCUGAGUUUCUUUGAGCAAAUUUCUGAUCCAAAAUGGGUUUGGCAUCAUGGCAGAAACAGGACUGGGUCCACGAAUGGAUUUGAUCCAGGAAUGAACUGGCUUGGAUCCAGUCAGAGGUCUCUUACAUCUGACUGGGUCAGAAAGGAACUGGUAGAUGGUGUGGCAAGCUGAGUCACUAAGGCUGCUCAGGGAAAGGGAACCCAGAAUCUUGGCAUGCCGGCAAAAGGCCCAUGGUUCACUGAGGACAACUCCUUUGCAAUCUAGAACCCAAAGAUUGGAUCUUCUGAGAACAUCAGAGAAAGACUGUCCUUGCCAUCCACACUACAGCAAAGCUUUGGAGCCUUGAACCUUGGGUUCAUGAUCUUACAACUGAGAAGGGCCCCUCCACACUCCUGAACUGUACAACCAUUGAAACUCUUAAGGUAAAAUUAACUAGGAAAGUUUAUCUCCUUAAGAAGAUGGCAUCCUUGAUGUGAACAGCUUUUCCCAAGAUCCUGGAUCAAAACGUCUACUAUCACGAGACUCUUAUAUUUGAAUAUAUUUUCCGGUUUAUGCCUUUAGGAACAAUUGAAAUGAAAGGGGGAUCUAUUAUGUGCACUUAUAGGGUAUACUUUUAUUUGUGAAGGAUUUUGCAUCCAGCCUUAUAUGAAUAACCUUGUACUUUAAUAGAUAAAAGAUGAAGGCUCAAUGUAGGUGAGAAAAUGUAGUGGUACAUAUGUUGCCUCAUAAUCAGUCAAAACUCUUCUUAACCCACAUAAUGGAUUAAAGAGAAUAUUGCCAGGAGGCCUUCGCUUUUCUAAAAUGACAUCAUUUGUUAGGUCCUUUUUCCAUAGUUUAGUAUAAAAGAGGCAAUAAUUAGAAAUGUCACCCUCAUAAUAGGCUCUACAGCAAAUUCUACUUUAAAGGCUAUUGUUACACAACAGACUUUAAAUUAUCUUGUAAAAGUUAUGCUAAAUAAUAGAAUUGGCCAAACAGAAAAGUACCUGUGCAGUUGCUGACACCUGUGGCCUAUGGAGAAAUACAUCAAAUGUAGAUUAUACAAUUUCAGUUGUAGGGGAUUAAUGAAAAGACCACCUAGUCAAGCAAGUAGGCUCUUCAUAUAGCUCAUUCUUUAAUCUAUUUAAUUUUACAUGGUUUGGUUUAUGGGGACCCUGGGUAAGGAGCACACUCCAAAUUUGUUAUUAUUCUCCCAGUACUCAUAAUGAUAGUCUCCCUGAUGUGCUAUAUUCUCUUAAAGGUUUUAAAUGUUUGCAUGCAGCCAUCUCUAGAACAUCAAAUGGUCUCUAUUCAACCAGAAUGACAAAAGCUGAAAGAAAUGUGUGACCCUGAGGAUAUCGUAACCUACGAAUGAUGUGCUGAGACUGGAAACCCUAAAUGAUGUUACUGAGAAUGGCACUAAGGCCUUAAGUUUUGGUCACACUGUCACCUAAGUGAGAACCUGGCUGAAAAGGGAGAAUUUUUAAACAACAAAAUUAGAGGAAGCCACUAUUUUGGACUGAGCUCAUGCACUAGGCCCCAACAAACGAAACCAAGCUAAAAUGGAGUCACUCAUCCUAAAUGUGACAUAAUCAAACCAAGGCUUUAAGAACACAGAUAGAUGCUAGAACAGACUACAUUUUGUUUUUCUCCUGUAAACAGGAUGUCUAUCAUAAGGAGGUACCGUCUACUCAGUCCUUAUUCUCUCCUUGCAAAACCCACUUUUCUACUGUUUCCCAGUGGGUUUCAAACCAUAUAAUACAUUUAUGAUAGUGAUAUUAACAUCAAUGACUAAGGUUUUGGUCAAUCUCUCAAAAUUGAGAAAAUGACCAAAAGAGGGAAAUGAUUGCUAAAGCAAACUAAAUAUGGCCUGGGAAGAACUCCAUAGUCUUAUAUUUGAGUUCUUGCAGAUGAACUGUAACUUAGCUUAAUAGUCAGACAAAACUGAAAACCUAACUUAAUAGUAUGCGUCUGUAACAAUGGCUGAGUGUUCGCUAAUCCCAGCGGCCAUACUUCAACCACUCAUAGACUGCUGAAAGUUCAAAGUGCAUUCAAAUAAGGCAAAAACGGAGCUUAACCAGCCUCACUGUUUCUGUAUCUCACUUCCGAUUCCUGUAUGUCACUUUACCUUUUUUGUCUAUAAAUGUGUUCUGACCACGAGGCACCCCAGGUCUCUGUGAAUCUGUUGUAAUUCUGGAGGUGCCUGAUUCGCCAAUCAUUCAUUGCUCAAUUAAACUCCUUUAAAUUUAACUCAGCUGGACUUUUCCUUUUAUCAGGUUGAAUUUUACAUAUCUACUUUAGAUUUUAAUUUCUUCUAUAAAUUAAAAUCUAAUCUUCCAUAAUUUCUGAUAAAAUGUUUGUUAAAUGAACUCAAUGCAUUGGACAAAAAUUUCCUGUUGCUUUUCUUUCAAAGUACAUAAAUUGAUGCUACUUUUUCCACCUUUCUCACAUUUUCUCUGUCCCAAUCUUACACUGGAGGUUCAAUAGUCUUCUUCAUGCCUCAAGUUCUUUCUCUUGUAAUAUGAAAGGCAUGUGGCCACUUUCCUUUUCUAAUUCUUUCAUAAAUCUAAACAUUUUCACUACCUAUUGGUUACUAUGCUCACCAUCUGGGUGAAGGCAUCAUUUGUACACAAAAUCUAUAAAAUAUACUAUUUACUUAUGUAAAAAACCUAAACAUGUACCUGCUGAACCUAAAAUAAAAGUUGAAAAAGAAAAAUAAAUAAAUAAUACCUUCCCAGAAUAUUGCCUAUAGGAACAAGUCUAAAUUCCUUAAUACAGAGUAAAAUGGUAAUAAAAUUCUUGCCCUGAUUUUCUUUCUUAGGCCUAUGUCAUUUCAACACUCCCCAUCACCAUUCUUCCCCAAUCUCUUCCAUUUUUUGAGUCUAAAAUCCUUAAUACAUUGAAUUUUUGUUCAAUAUUUGUUAUAUGCCCAAAACUAUGCUAAGCUGCUGGACUCGUGCUCUUUCACAAUUCCUUUUCUGUUCCUUUCAGACUAGUGAAAUGAUACUGAUUUUUAAUGAUCUGUCUUUUCUUGGAAAUUUCCUAUUUCCAAAUGUCAAAAAAAGAACUUAUAAUUUUUGUCUCUCCAUUUCCAUAACACUUAUCAAUGUCACUGACAUAGCCCUAAUAAUUAUGAGAUGUACAUUGUUAGUUACACACAUUUCUUGUUUUCCUACUUUUGAUGUCUUUAAGGUCAGAGAUUGUAUUUUACUCGUUUGUAUUCCUAUCAGAAAAAAAACUGUGGCUUACAUGUAAUAUACAUUCAGUAAUUGUUUGAAUGAAAAAUGUAUUAAAAUAGUAUGAGUAUCCAAGUUGGUGAUUCAAUUUAGUUAAUCUCUUCUGAUACCCCUACCCCAAAAAGGCAUAUGUAAAAGUGCAUAAAAUUGUGUGUAUGAAUAUGUAGAUCAAUAGAUAGAAGCAUCUGUGAACACAAAUAAGAAAUUUAGGAAAUGAUUAUCUUAGAAACUCUUUAGCAUCAAAUCUUAUUUAUUUAUUUAUUUAUUUGCUAUAGCUUUUGGGGAAAAGUUGGAUUUUUGUUACAUGGAUAAGUUCUCUUGUAGUAAUUCCUGAGAUUUUGGUGCACACUGUACCCAAUCUGUAUUCUUUAUUCCUCACCCCUCUCCCCGCAUUCCCCUUGAGUCUCUGAAGUCCCUUAUAUCAUUCUUACGCCUUUGCAGCCUCAUAACUUAGCUCCCACUUAUAAGUGAGAUCAUACAAAAUUUGGUUUUCCAUUCCUGAGUUACUUCACUUAGAAUAACUGUUUCCAGCUCCAUCCAGGUUGCUGAAAAUGCCAUUAUUUCAUUCAUUUUUAUGGCUGAGUAGUAUUCCAUGGUGUAUAUAUGCCACCUUUUCUUUAUUUACUCUUUGGCCAGUGGACAUUUAGGCUGAUUUCAUAUUUUUGCAAUUGUGAAUUUUGCUACUAUACACAUGUAUGUGCAAGUGUAUUUUUCAUACAAUGACUUCUUUUCCUCUGGGUAGAGACCCAGUAGUGCGAUUGCUGGAUGAAAUGCUAGUUCUACUUCUAGUUAUUUAAGGAAUCUCCAUACUGUUUUCCAUAUGGGUGGUACUAGUUUACAUUCCCAACAGCAGUAUAAAAGUGUUCCCUUUUCACCAUAUUCACGCUAAUAUUUAUUAUUUUUUAUUUUUAAUUAUGGUCAUUCUUGGAUCUCAUUGUAUUUUCAAUUUGCAUUUCCCUGGUAAUUAGAGAUGUUGAGCAUAUUUUCAUGUUUGUUGGCCAUUUGGAUAACUUUUUCUGAGAAUUGUCUGUUCAUGUCCUUUGCCCACUUUUUAAGUUUAAUUUAAUACUAAUCCUACUAUUAUAUAUAUAUAUAUAAG
rnacentral:lncRNA from 1 species